GAACAAUUAAGUGCUCACUAAACAUUAGAACAAGACUGAGAAGGUUAGCAUGGCCCCAAUGCAAGGAUGACAAGCAAAUUCAUAAGGCAUUCCAUAUUCUC
rnacentral:snRNA from 1 species